rnacentral:rRNA from 1 species
AUUGAACGCUGGCGGCAUGCCUUACACAUGCAAGUCGAACGGCAGCACGGGUGCUUGCACCUGGUGGCGAGUGGCGAACGGGUGAGUAAUACAUCGGAACGUACCUUAUCGUAGGGGAUAACGCAGCGAAAGUUGUGCUAAUACCGCAUACGCCCUGAGGGGGAAAGCGGGGGAUCGAAAGACCUCGCGCGAUUAGAGCGGCCGAUGCCUGAUUAGCUUGUUGGUGGGGUAAAAGCCCACCAAGGCGACGAUCAGUAGCUGGUCUGAGAGGACGAUCAGCCACACUGGGACUGAGACACGGCCCAGACUCCUACGGGAGGCAGCAGUGGGGAAUUUUGGACAAUGGGGGCAACCCUGAUCCAGCAAUGCCGCGUGAGUGAAGAAGGCCUUCGGGUUGUAAAGCUCUUUUGUCAGGGAAGAAACACCGGCUCUAACACAGUCCGGGAAUGACGGUACCUGAAGAAUAAGCACCGGCUAACUACGUGCCAGCCGCCGCAGUAA